AUCAAAGCCAUAGUCAAAGAGGCCCAACGGACUCAACUGGACCCAGGCAACGGACCCUCCAAUCGCCUCUUCGUGCCUGACUCGGUUCGGUCUCAGGUUCUCCAGUGGGGGGACACUUCUCAUUUCGCCUGCCAUCCCGAAAUCGAUCGACCUCUGUCCCUUCUGAAGAGACAUUUCUGGUGGCCUUCUAUGGACGCUAACACUUGUUCCUUUCUCUCUGUCUGUUCUGUUUGUGCCCGCGGAAAAGCCUCCCAUUGACCACCUGCUAGGUUGCUUCAUCCCCUACCUGUCCCUGGCCGCCCUUGGUCCCACGUUGCUCUGGAUUUCGUUACUGGGCUAUCCCCUUUCACAUGGGAACACUGCCAUACUCACCGUGGUGGACCGUUCCUCCAAAGCCGUGCACUUCGUAGCCCUUCCCAAACUCCCUACAGCCCGUGAGACAGCUCCUCCUUGUUCAUCACGUCUUCCACCUUCAGGGAAUUCCCUCUGACUGGGGUCCCCAAUUCAUCUCUCAAGCCUGGAGAUCCUUUCGUCAAGCCCUUGGAGUGUCAGUAAGUCCAUCUUGCAGUUUCCAUCCGCAGACAAAUGGUCAAACAGAAUGAGCAAACCAGGAUUUGGAAGCAGCAUUGUGCUGCAUAACUGACAACAACCCGUCAUCCUGGAGCGCCCAUCUCACUUGGGUGGAGUACGCCCACAACUCCCUGGUCAGCACCGCCAUCGGAAUGUCUCCCUUCGAAUGCUCCCUCGGUUAUCAACCCCUUCUGUUCCUUGCCCAUGAAGACAAUAUCGCUGUGCCUUCAGUUCAGGCCCAUCUCCGCUGGUGCCGCGGAUCUGGAAGGAUGCAUGUGUGGCCCUCCUCCGCUCAGCUGACUGCAACCGGAGGAUUACCGAUUGCAAUUGAACUCCUGCACCAAAUUAUCACCCUGGGCAGAAGGUUUGGAUUUCGUCAAAAGACAUGUCCCUCAAGAAUGAACCCAAGAGCCUCACCCCUUGCAACCUGGGACCAUUCGAGAUUGAGAGUGUCAUCAGCUCCUCGGUGGUAGACUCAAACUGCCCGGAUCCAUGCACAUUCAUCCCAUAUUCCGCAUCUCCCAACUGGAAGUUGCAUCUUUCGGCUCUUUGUACCCUCCUGCUGAACCCCUCUACCUGCUGGAUCAUUGAUGACUACCCAGCAUACACUGUCUGGCGAAUACUGGAUGUGCGCCGCCGAGGCGGGGCCUCCAGUACCUGCUCAAUUGGGAGGGAUACGGCCCAGAGGAACGCUCCUGGAUUCCCUAAUCCUUCAUCCUGGACCCGUCCCUCCUCCGUAAUUUCCAUCGAGACAAUCCGGACAAGCCUGGUGGUUCACCUGGAAGCUUCCGUUGGGGGGGAGGGGGCGGUAUUGUCAUGGUCCCGGUUGUUAAUUCCCUGUCUUUCUCCUAAUUUCUUUUAAUUGUGCCAUGGUUCUGACCGCUAAUUUUCCAUUUGCUUCUCAUUCUCUCUGAUGACAGCACAUCAAGAUCUGCAACAUAAGAACCCUGGCAUUACAACCACUGGUUGCCAAAUUGUUGGUUUUUCCUGCGUGGUAAUUAAUGCUUUCUGGCCGCUUAGGACUGUGUAUUCUAAGUUUUGCUCUAGUUUCAAGCUUUACCCAAGAAACUCCGUCUCUCUGUGUCAAGGCUUCAGGUCAAGAUCUCCUGUUUGCUGUUCAACGUUCACGUCUGCAUAAGCAUCCUAACUCUGUCUCCAUGCCUGUGUCCUGCACUUGGGUUUGCUUCAUUCUCUCAUUGCAACAGUGAUCUGUAUUUCUAGAUUUCCCACACAAGAGGAAACAUUCUCUCCACAACCACUCUGGCAGAACCCCUUAGAAUCUUAGGUGUUUCAAUUAAAUCCCUUUCCUCUCUGUAAAGCUCUAGUGGAGAGAAGUAUUACCUGUCUUGGCUUUUCUCAUUAGACUAUUUACUCAAUCCAGUUAACUUUCUCAGAACUACAUGAGUGUUGUUUAGAAAAGGAAAGGAGAUACAAAUAUGAUCAGAGAUCGGAUGUCACUGCCAUAUAGCAUACCUUAAACAUAAAACCCUACAUGUGCGAGUACUGAGCAAUAACAUAUUCCCUAGCUCAAAAUGGCCACUCGUGCCAAGUGACAUGUCCAACACUGUAGGAUUCCUGGAAACUGCACAAAAUUUAAUUCUGGUGGAGUUACAACUUCGCAUUUUCCACUGACACCUGCCAAAUUUACACCACUACCCCAGCCAGCCGGCAGCUGUUAGCUCUCCUGGAAAGACUGUAUGUGAAUCUUCUUGUUGCAAAAACAGUAAGGGAGGUAGCAUGUGAGAUAUCUUGUUGCAAGAGCAUCCCAAGCUUCAAUAACGAUGUUUAUAUUGCAGAAGUGUUUCCACUGGCUGCAGAUGCUGCCUGACCUGCUGAGUUCCUCCAGCAUGUGUUGCUCUGUUUCUGGGCAAGUCAACAUAUGGAGUGUGUUUAAAGACCAACUAGAGUACAGGACAGGUAUGUUCCCAACAGAAGAGGAACAGAGAUGGCAAGAUAUUAACAAAAGAUCACUAUAAUGUCCGGAGGAACAAUUUGAACUAUUUGCACCAUUUGUUCUCAGUUCCAAACAAAUGCCUACCAAAAUUACAGGAGGACAUCAAGAAUAUCUCCACAGAAAUCACAUCCCAUUAUCUAUUGCUUUGUACCUCUAGCUACCUACGCCUCUAAGACUUCCUAAGAUCCCUGCCUGCUGUGCACCCCUGCCAUUUAACCACACCCACCUUCUAUGUGCCGCAAUUGGUGAUCAUGUUUUCAGCUGUCAAGGCUUAAACAGUGGAAAUAUUAAUGAUUACUAACCAAAUAAAAAUGUCAGUAUAAAAAUACAGCUGUCUCCUUCUCUGCAAAAUAAGGGUUUGAGUAAUAUUGCAGUUACUUGCAAUACUGCUAUUAAAAACUUCACACUUCAAUUUGUCAGUAAAUUCUAUUAGUGCCUUCCAGCAUGAUUGAGCUGCAAUAUAAUCUGAAAAGAUUUUAAUGUAAAGCAGAACCAUUCUUUCUCCUGUAUUUCUCUUCAGAAGGCACUAAUUAAAGCUGCAACUCAUUGCAUUGGUUCUUUUAGUCCUUAUUAAUGAGUAUUGACAGCAAGUGUCAACGGGUGAUUCGGCAUUGGCAGUGGAGCGGGUUCCAGACCCUACCUGUGGCAGACAGGGAUACAUGGUCUGAACGGCAGAGCUCUCAAGUAACAUUCAUCUUAGAGUAGAACGAAAGGUCUCAGGAGAAUUAAACAGGGAAUAGAAAUCUUUCUGUGGCUGCUGUUGAAUCCUGACUAGAAGAAGAUGACUCUUUGUCAUAACAGCCCUAAGGAUUAAGAAUGUUUUUGUUUCUCACUCAGAAGUUGAGUUAUGCCUGUGCCAGUGAUGUUUAAAAAUCUAGGAUCCGAGUAGCUACAAUCAUUGGAAAACAUUGGCUCCAGAUUCAGGAUGGGAGUAGGGAUUUCACAGAAACUGAGCUGCAAA